GAUGAACGCUGGCGGCGUGCUUAACACAUGCAAGUCGAACGGAAAGGCCCAAGCUUGCUUGGGUACUCGAGUGGCGAACGGGUGAGUAACACGUGGGUGAUCUGCCCUGCACUUCGGGAUAAGCCUGGGAAACUGGGUCUAAUACCGGAUAGGACCACUUCUUGGAUGUUGUGGUGGAAAGUUUUUUCGGUGUGGGAUGAGCUCGCGGCCUAUCAGCUUGUUGGUGGGGUAAUGGCCUACCAAGGCGUCGACGGGUAGCCGGCCUGAGAGGGUGUACGGCCACAUUGGGACUGAGAUACGGCCCAGACUCCUACGGGAGGCAGCAGUGGGGAAUAUUGCACAAGGGGCGCAAGCCUGAUGCAGCGACGCCGCGGGGGGGAGGACGGCCUUCGGGUUGUAAACUCCUUUCGCUAGGGACGAAGCGUUUUGUGACGGUACCUGGAGAAGAAGCACCGGCUAACUACGUG
rnacentral:rRNA from 1 species